AAAAAUAGGUCUCAGUUCAGAUUGCAGGCUGCAACCCGCCUGCAUGAAGUCGGAAUUGCUAGUAAUCGCGGAUCAGCAUGCCGCGGUGAAUACGUUCCCGGGCCUUGUACACACCGCCCGUCACACCAUGGGAGCCGGUAAUACCCGAAGUCAGUAGUCCAACCUCGUGAGGACGCUGCCGAAGGUAGGAUUGGCGACUGGGGUGAAGUCGUAACAAGGUACC
rnacentral:rRNA from 1 species